UUUCCGUAGGUGAACCUGCAGAAGGAUCAUUAACGAGUGAGGGUCCUCGCGGCCCGACCUCCCAACCCCAUGUCUAUUGAACCUCUGUUGCUUCGGCGGACCCGCCUCACGGCCGCCGGAGGGUCGCUCGCGCGAUCCUCUGGCCAGCGUCCGCCGACGGCCAACCAUUUAAAACUCUGAAUGAAUCGUGUCAUGAUGUCUAAGUCUAUGAUUAAAUUAAAGCAAAACUUUCAACAACGGAUCUCUUGGUUCUG
rnacentral:misc_RNA from 1 species